AUCACAGUUCAAUAUUACAAAACUAUUUUUGCAAUUUUUUUCAAAGUUACGGUAUUCGGUCUCGACGCGACAAAUUUAUGUUGAAUGAAAAGAUGUGUGCGUCUUAAAGAGUACUGUAAUUUCAAACAUUUUUACGAAAAACUAUAAAAAUUCCAAAGUAACGAGAUCUUUUGAUUUACAGUACUUUUUAAAAGC
ensembl:ncRNA C29E4.18 ncRNA